rnacentral:lncRNA from 1 species
AAAAAGGGUGGAAAGAAGAAGGGUUCUUCUUUCCAGACAGUCUCGGCUCUUUUUCGGGAGAACUUAAACAAGCUGAUGACCAAUCUACGGAGCACUCACCCCCAUUUUGUCCGUUGCAUCAUCCCAAAUGAAACAAAAACACCUGGUGCCAUGGAGCAUGAACUGGUACUUCACCAGCUGCGGUGUAACGGAGUGCUGGAAGGGAUCCGAAUUUGCAGGAAAGGUUUCCCCAGCAGAGUUCUCUAUGCUGACUUCAAACAGAGGUAAGAGCACUGCACUGCACUGCACUCCUCAGCAUCAUUAUAAGCAAUGUUGGUUCAUUCAGGCUGGACUCCUUUGUCAAA